CUUUUUUUUUUUAACCAAAGAAAUAUAUGCUCCCUAGCAGUUACUUUACUGCUAAGAUAUUUUCACUUAGAUUUCCUACCUCUCCAUCCUCUCUCUGCCGCUUCUUUCCGUAAUUAAUAUUAUCCUUUCACGUGAAAUGUAAGAACCUCUGCGACCGCAGCAGUGGAGGGAAACCGCACAAAACGCUGUUAUUAUGCAAAUCACUGGGUUUGGAUGCCGGAUGGCUAAGGAAUCUGGGUUCACUUUUCUCCAGACCCUCUUUUUUGGAGGAGGGAGUGAGGGGGCUGUGUGGAAUGGGAGGACGAUGCUGAUUAUGAAAUAAAUGGCAAUGCAUAGUACAGGAGUGCAUGAGGACACUUUGGGUGGUGGAGGAGGCAGGGGCGGCGUGCUAGGGCUAGGUGGGCAGGGGCUGUAAGGCGGAAGAUUGUUGCUUUGAAGAGAAUAGUAUAGGGAUGUGGCUUGAGUGUGAGAUAUAGCAAGGAUGGAUGUGAAAUGAUGAUUGAUAGAAUAUUUUUUAAGCUAGGUGACUAGAUUUUUUUUCUUUGCCUGCCUCUAAUCCUUCUGUCAUUAUUUGGGUAUUUGCAGGAAAGGUAAGUUGAUCAAAUUAAUUUUUCCCUGGGUAAAAGGGAUCUGAAAGUAAGACACACGUAGACUCACUGGCGUGCAAAACCCAGUCGGCCUUUGGAGGAUUUAAAUGAGGUCAAUGAACCAUCUUUCAGCAAGUUCUUGGAAUGCAUCCUCUCUCCUGCCCUCCUCCGGGAUAUAGACUGGGGACCGAAUUUUAUUUAUGCAUAUUUAUGAAUGUGAAAAAAGAGGCGGUGGGCAGAAUUUUCCUGAAUUAACUAACUGACCUUGUAGAGAUCUUGUGUAGAAAAUUUUGGUGGUACUUUUGUGUAUUUUACGUUGGGUGUAAAUUUCAGAUAUGUCAUGUGUGCCAGAAUCUCCGUGAAGGCAGACAGCACAUUCUCCCUGCGUACACCGCCGAGUCCCAUUUCUCACCUUUCACACCCCCAUCCUCACACAAGUAACCCGGGUGUCUGACACGUUACUUAGGUUUUUAAUCCGCGCUGAGACAAUCUCACAGAGACCCUACUUCACCUCUCAGUAACUUGCAUUUCUCAGCUCUGCUGUGUGUGUGUGUAUGUGUGUGUGUGUGCGCGCGCGCGCGCCGGCGUGUGCCGUGUUGGGGGAGUGUGAUGUGGGGGAAUCAGUUAAUUUGGUGAUUGCAAUGAAAAUUCGACACCGCUAGAUGUAUUUUCCCUGCCAAUCUGUGUGUGCUGGCCCCGGCCGGUCAAUGCACACACUGCUGGGCUGCUGCGAAAUUAUUUAUUAUAGAGCAUGUGGGCCAUGGACUGCACUUGGGGUCGCCUCCUCUCUUCCUUCAACAUUUCCCUGUGAAUUGUCUAUUCAGUGCAGUGCGAAAUAACUGUUUGCUGGUGCCUCUCUCUCAGCCUGGAGGAGGAUUUACUCUUUCUCUACCCGGAGAGAUUCCAUCAGCAGCAUUCAGGCAUGAGUCUCUUUUAUUGAGUAUGUAAACCAAUGAUUAAGACAGUGCUGCUUUUCACAGCAGACUGGGGAGCGGGGGGUGCGGGGAAGGGGUGUGAGUAUAGCCGAGAAAAUGCACCACUGCAACCAGCAGCAACACCAGCAUUAGGUCCAAUAAAUAAAUAAAUAAAUAAAUAAAGGUUCUAUACAGCAACCAGGGAAAGAGCACAAGUCCAUCCAUGUCUGUGGACUUAGGAGCAUCUUAGAUCAGGCCAUAUGAAUACACUAAAAGAGAUACGAGGAUUUAAAAAAAAAAAAAAGAAAGAAAGAGGAGGGGGCACAAAGCACCACUGGAUUGUCUUCUCAUGUUUAUGGCUGCCUCACAUUUAUUCAUCAAACACUGCUCCACAGACACAUCAUAGUUUGUUGAUAUUGUCAGUUUUUGCUCAAAUUGCUCAUGCCUUCCUUGUCUUAGGCUUGGCUGAGAACAUUGUUUCGGGGUUCAGAUUUAUGUUUCUUCCCCUACCCUACUGUUUUAUUAGGACUUGGUUAGGUUGUAAAAUGAAGGCUUUAUUUUCUGGACAUAGAUUAAAUACUUAGCGGGUCUUUCUAUGUGCGGGGAGAAAAGGGUGGCGGGGGAACUAGUGAGCGACUGAUUUUGGCUAGAGGGAGUCUGCCCUGCCUGCUAGUAGUUAUGACUAGGCAAAUACUAUAGUCAGUCAUUAGCUUCUUUUUUUUAGCUUUAUCAGCACUAUAGUGAUAUUCACUUAAGUAAUACUAAUCAGUUUAUUUAUCCCAUGUAUUACUAUUCUCUUUCUUUCAGUAUCAUUAUUAAAGACAAGAAGACUCAUUUGAACAUAUCUUCUCCAUGUUUCUGUGUUUUAACUGACUGUAUUUUAUAUUAUCACCUAUAUUUUUUACCUUUUUUCUGGGAAGCAAAAUCAAUUUUCUGGCUUGUUAAUAUGUGGAGUGAUAAGCCAGUGGUGAGAAUCUAGUCAAUGAUAAAAUGAGUUUUUUUUAAAAGGCUUACUUAAUUCUAUAACAUCUGCCAGUUUGUCCUCAUCCUCAUCGUGUCUUUAGGAAAUGAAUAAUAGAUAGGGAAUAAACAUAUGCUUUUGGCUAAACAUUUGUUUGGCCAAAGUAUAACUUGGAAUGUAGGCUACUUAAAUAGCAAAAUUUCAUUUGGUGUUCAGUUACAAUGUGUCUUUUCUUAUUUUCCCUCAUCAUAGAAAGAGGAAAAUCUGGAGUAAGCGCAAGGGACACAUUACAGAAAUGAAUUUCUUUGCAAGGAAAGCUUGCCACCUGUAACUAAGUCCUCUCUUGGCUAUACAGUAGAUCCAGUUCAAUUGCUAACCCUUGCUGAAACCUUAUGCCUUUCCAUGCCUGAGGGGGCACUGCAAAGAUGGAGAGAAUGCCCUGGGUAGCACAGGAAACAAUUCUGGAAAGGGCAAAAAAGAAACAAGGGCAAAAUAUAACAAGAAAUAAUCAUGCAUACAUGCAUACAAGACCUCAUUUUGUUGAGAACUGUGUUUACUUUUUGGAAUUAGUCGUAUAAAAAAGCACCUCCAAGACAGAUACUGGGGCUUUAGGUUUUUUUGUUUGUUUGUUUGUUUGUUUUUUGCCGUGGUAUAUUCUGGUAAAUUAUUUGUUACAUUUAGUAAAAAUAUAACACAAGCACAAUUUAAUUUGAAUAUACAUUCAAAUUAAAUCUCAUUGGACGUACAUAAUACUUGCCUCAGUAUCUGUCAUGAACCUCACCUUACAUUUUUAGAAAGCACAUUAUAAUACAUCUUAUAUACACUUAAUGAAAUACUUACGCUUCCUAAAAGCAUAUCUUUCCAACUAUUUUACCUUUACAUGUGUUAACUUUAGUCUUGGCAAGCUCAUUUCUUAUGCCAAGUGCAAUUCUGUUGUAUCAAGAAAGGCAUCUUCUGCAAAUUCCUUGUGUAAAGAGGUGGGUGAGGAUUAACCUAGAGCUGUGGCAGCUGAAGCCCCCUGCUGUGUGAUGAUGCAAAUGGCAUCUCAGGCCUAAUGUGCUCUGCAGAGGCCACAAACUCACAGGAAAGCAGUCAUGUGGCAUGAGAGUGAAAUGGGAAGUCUUUUUCAUAGCUUGUAGUGGACAUAAAACAUCCUUUAGCUUUUUAUAACCAGAAAUGAUCCAGAGUAUUUGUAAUCACAUGAGGUUAUGACAAAGCAAAAGAGAGAACAUAUAUUUUGUUUAGAGAUGAAUAAAAUCCUACUAAAACUAUCAACAUUUUCAUCCAAUGAAUGGUGAACAUUUAAUUUUCUUCCAAACUAUCGGGAACAUAGGUCAGUUUAAUGAAGAUGAAUAGCAAAAUUAAAAUAGGAUUUCCAUGCUAUUUUUUACGUGUGUUGGACUUAAUAACUGUUGGGCUGGGAAGCAUUCUGUUAUCCAGUUCUUCCUUCAGUGAGUAAGGAGUUAGUCCUUUAAUCUCAUUCUUAUUAGAGCAUUUCCUGUACUAUGAAAAUAUAGCAGUUUCUUUACAAAAUAGGAGUUAACUGUUCAGUGUCUCUUCAGUUUAUUUAGUGUUGUCAAGUAUAAUUUGUGUUAUGUCACAUCAAUAGAGAAUGUUUCCUAUCUGCACAAUAUUAUUUAUCACAUAGGCAAAGUCAUCUGAUAUGUUCUCUAAAAAUGUAAGAGUUAUAAACCCACUGUUAUAGCAUUAAACCCUAUCAGAUAAAAGGAACUAACGUAGCUUUGUAUAUUUUGAUUCCAUUUGCCACAGAACAAAAAACUGAACAUGUUAUACAUACUGAUUUUUACUAAGUAGUGAGCCCAGUUGGUCCUGUUAAUGUGUUCAGUGGAUUUCCUUAAGCAUAUACGAAACCGUUUUCAUCUUAGAAGCAUGCAGCCUAUUUAAAAAUUAGUGAAGUAAAUAUUCUGCUUAAGUAGGGAUCAGUUAAAUAUUAAUGUCAAAAUCAGAGAUGUAAUUAUUGAGUAUGGAAAUAUUCCACAGUCACUUAUUUAUAUAUAUGCACAUAUAUACACAUUUAAGUAUGUCAUUAUUUUUAAGACUGAAGAACAUCUUUAUUAAUUUUGUAAUUAGAGUUUAGGGCUUUCAGGGAUGUAUAAUAGAAUGAUGGAAAAGUUAAGAGUUUGUUUUGUUUUUACUCAUUGUGUUCUUUUACUCUUUCAAUUAAGGUUAAGAAUUUUAUUUUUUUUUAAAGUAAAUUUUCUCAGGCUGCAACAACGAUUAACAAGACUUCCACAAAAAAACACACACACAAGUCUUACAAUUUAUGAAAUAACAAUAGGGUUGAGUAUUCUGCAUCUAUCUUUGUGCUUAUGAAACUGAGUGAUAAGAACUUGUUACUACUUGAAUAGAUACAGAGCUAAGUUAGUAAGAUCUGCCAUAGAGAGAGGGGGCCAUUAACUAUUCACAUUAUAUUUUAGAGGUCUUUGAAGUAAAUAUUAACACAGUCAUUGUUCAAUUUUGGAAACAACUCUUUCUGAGUCAGCAAAUCAUUUUCACUUGAAUAUUUAAAUUAUCUUUCAGCCAUUUCAUUGUUGAAGAGGAAGUCCCUGUCUAGUCAUAGUUAAGGAGUUUUUCCAGGGGUUAAAUACUGAUGUCAUUAGGCAUUGCUUAGAAAAUAAAAAUAAGCAUACUUUUGCUUUCAGAAAAAAAAAUCUCAAAGCUAAAUGUGAUCAAAUAGUGCAAAUAAUUUCACAUUAUAAGAAAACAAAGUCCUUUAAAAAGUCAAAUUGAGUUUCUAAAAAUUUUAUAUAUUUUAUGAUGGUUAAUUUACAGUAAGGAUACAUUGCUUAUCUAAAGUUGUCCUUGAGAACAGAAUGAGAACAUACCUUUCCUGACAAAGAUAUGCUGCCGACUGCUAAGUGUAUAGCUGUUAUAUUGAUUUGCUAUAAUUUAUAAAGCCAAUUAAUUUAUUAUUGUAAGGAAAUAUUUUUACCUUUAGGCUAAAAUUGUUUGUAUUCUAAAAUGCAGGUGCCUUCCAUAAUGCUUAUUUAAACAUCAAGGCCUAAAAUUUAUAGUGUGUAAAAAAAGUCCUAAUUUUCUUAAUAAAUUCAUAUUUUAUAUUAACUUCUCCUGUAUCCCCCAUGGGGGAAAGUGUCCAUGACAUUCAUAACUUCCGUUCAUUCUGAUACCUUUUACAUCUCUUGUUUUUCAAUCUGGAGUUGUAGGCUUAAGUUUAAAUGAGAAAUAAUGUAUUAUGAAUUAGAAUAUUUAUAUGUAAAAGCAAAGAAAAAUAUAUAGUAAGCUUUUUAUUUAAUUGCCAUUUCUUUACUGCUCUCUAUUUUAUGUGCUGAAGUCCGAAUAGUAACUCGGCUUCCUUUAUACUCUCCAGGAAUAUAAUAUCCCUCCCAUUCCCUGCCCAUGCUACUGACUUGAAAGAUCCAUUAAAAUAAAUUAAUGGGGAAUGAAGAAUAAAGAAGUGUUUUGCUAAAGGAUAUGUACAGAAUAUGUACAGAUUGGGUGUUUUUCCUUUCAACCCCCAAGGAGCACACCCCAGCGUUUUAGCAAGGAUAAAACAUGUGCAAUGUGUAUUGACUUGUUUUUGUUAUUGUUACUAUUGCAUUUUUUUGAAAGCUCCAUUCCGUAAUCUCUUAAUAAAAAUGGCAAAAAGAAGGGGAAAGGAAUGUGAGUCAGCCAGCCAAACACACAGAGAAAGGCCUGGCAAAGCUGCCUAAAUUAGCAUAUGCUAGGCUGAGUAUUUCCCUCUGUUGUUACAUAAUCCCUUUCUAAUACGAAAUCAGUUCUCAUACUUAACCCUUUCAGGAGGUUUGGAAUUCUCCCACUGUUAUAUUUUUAUUUUGCUUCAUUUAUUUUCUCAUGAAUUGUGUAAAUCAUCUAUUCAAGGGCUUUUAUGUCAAGUUCUUUUUUUCCCUCUCCAGCCCUUCUGUAUACAAAUGUUCCAUUCUGUGUCCAACUUCAGGAUUCAAGAAUCAACUUUUCUAUAGCUUCCACUGAGAGGAUCUAAUUAGCAUUUUAGUCUCCCUUUACUCAUGUGCAGCUUUCUUUAGAAAAUGUAUUAGUUCUACGAGGUUCCCCUAAGGAUUCAUAAUACUCUAGUUUGUUACAUGUUCUGUGAUAUUCAAUGUGCCUUAAUUAUGCACGUGUCCUCAUUUCAAAGCCUUUUCAGGGAUCAUGUGGGAUAGAACAGGGGUCUGGCUGUAAGUUCACUGUCAUGUAUUAAUGUGUAGGUGGUAUUCAGAGAAGGAUGUUUCUGAAGGCAAUUAUAUAUCUAUGACUCCAAUAUAGCAAGCAGUUACUCACAUUCUGCACUUACUAGUUAUCCUGCCAAGGCAGAAUUAAAUUCACCAUUGUGAUACAUAAUACAGUAUCUGUUAUUUCUAAAUAACAGAUACUGCUCUAGGAUUGAAAUAAAAUAAUGAGUGAAAAUGUGUAUCCCCUACCCUGAAUAGGGAUUGUUCCUUUCACUUUCCCAAACAAAAAGAAGAAUCAGAAAUUGUUCCUAAGUCAAUACUCUAUUCCUUAACUAGCCCAUUAACACAUCUUGCUAUGGUGGGAUCUUGAAGUUUUGCUGGUUUUUAUGUGAGGCUGUAGAUAUUUAAGCAGUAUUAAUUGCCUGCAAUCUUUAUGGACUGCCAAAUAUCAGUGCAUUGCCAAAUUUGAGACAUUUUAUUUUCGGGUUUUAAUUUGGAUGCAAUUUGAAUACUGGUGGAAGUAUAGAGAGACGCUGAACUCAACAGAGAGAGACAGACAUCUUUUUCUUAAAGAGACUUCAAUUGUGGAGAGAUUGCUAUAAGAAUUGGCUUGUUUUGUAUGUGUUAUCACUUAACAAGGGGGAUACUUUCUUAUAUUACAUGAGUAUGAGAGUGCAUUUGUCUUAAUUGUACCCUUUGACUUACAUGUCUUCCUCUGUGUCUUAUGUCAUAAGAAAAUGGUGGUUUAAUUUGUAACUGCAACUUGUGUCUUUUAUUCUUUUAUUUAUGCUUAUGGCAAUAAAAAGCGUUUUAUAAGCUGAUAUAAUAAAUAUGUUUUGACAAUUUUUGUUUGAUUAUUUUACACAAUAGCAUAAUUUUUGAAGCUAUAGUUUUAGUUUUAGUAGACAAAAGAAUGCCAUCUGCCCUCUAUUGAUUAUUUUAAGCAUUUAUGUGUUCUUAUUUCAUGAGAGAACUGAGCAUUUGAUUUUGUCUAUUCUGUGAUCUAUAUAAAACUUCGUAUAUUAUUAUUAUAGUAUUUUGACUAAUCGAAUGUCUGGUCUAUCUUUUUUUUUAAUGUUUUCAUUCCACUGAUUGAUUAGUUUUCUUCUAAAAGAUUUAAUCUUGACACAACUCUUUAAUUGGAUCUAGAUAAUAUUUAAGUAUUUACAUUAUAACUGCCAAAAUGCCAAUACAGUACUCCAAAUAGAAUAAAUAUUUGCAGUGACUUUUCAUUUAUAUGUAAUACACAGGAAGAAGACAGAAAUGCACCCCAAGAAACAAAAAUAAUACUAAAUAAUGGUGUACUUAACAAAAAUAUGAAUUAAUUGCUUUCAGUCAGGGUAGUCAAUUCAAAUUUGCACUGUAAACAUUUAUUUGAAUCUUCCCGAUAUCUUUGGGUAUUUAACCCCUUAUCUUUAAUCUACUUUCUAAAGAUUUUAUUUCUAGCUUCAAAAAUAUUCCUGAUGAUGACUUUGGUUAAACGUGAAGCCACAUUAUCUUCUUGUUCUACUUUGAGUAGCUGGCAUUUCCGGAUAAAUGUAUAAAC
rnacentral:lncRNA from 1 species